GAUGAACGCUAGCGGCAGGCCUAACACAUGCAAGUCGAGGGGUAGAAGGAGCUUGCUCCUUUGAGACCGGCGCACGGGUGCGUAACGCGUAUGCAAUCUACCUUUUACAGAGGGAUAGCCCAGAGAAAUUUGGAUUAAUACCUCAUAGUAUAUAUCAUUCGCAUGUUUGGUAUAUUAAAGUUCCAACGGUAAAAGAUGAGCAUGCGUCCCAUUAGUUAGUUGGUAAGGUAACGGCUUACCAAGACGAUGAUGGGUAGGGGUCCUGAGAGGGAGAUCCCCCACACUGGUACUGAGACACGGACCAGACUCCUACGGGAGGCAGCAGUGAGGAAUAUUGGUCAAUGGACGCAAGUCUGAACCAGCCAUGCCGCGUGCAGGAAGACGGUACUAUGGAUUGUAAACUGCUUUUGUACGGGAAGAAACACUCCUACGUGUAGGAGCCUGACGGUACCGUAAGAAUAAGGAUCGGCUAACUCCGUGCCAGCAGCCGCCGUAAAAC
rnacentral:rRNA from 1 species